UUGUGGAAUUGUGGAAAUGCAUGGAAAAAGAUAAUGGAGAAACUUCAAAUAUCCCCCAAGUGGUUUCGCACUUUCUCAUUUUAGUACCCUGCGAUUUAAAGUAUAUCAAGUUAGCACCAUAUGGUUUCAUACUUUCUCACUUUAGUACCAUGUGGUUUCAAGUGUAUCAAGUUAGUACCCUGUGGUUUCGUAUUUUUUCACUUUAGUAUCAUGUGGUUUAAUAUUUCGUUACAUUAUAUACUCCAAAAUAGAUAAUAAAAAAAAAAUUGAAAUCACAGGAUACUAACUUGAUAUAAAAAUGAAACCAUAUGGUACUAACUUGAUAUACUUGAAACCACAGGGUACUAAAAUGAGAAAAUACAAAAAUACAGGAUUCUAACUUAAUACACGUUAAAUCACAUGGUACUAAAAUAAAAAAGUAUGAAACCACGUUGGGGGUAUUUGAAGUUUUCCCAAAGAUAAUUGAUAA
rnacentral:lncRNA from 1 species